UUGCUGUGAUGACUAUCUUAGGACACCUUUGGAACGGGAACACCGAUGAAAACAAAAAAUUAAGUUAUUUCUGAGCAAC
rnacentral:snoRNA from 1 species